rnacentral:rRNA from 1 species
UACGGAGGGUGCAAGCGUUAUCCGGAUUCACUGGGUUUAAAGGGUCCGUAGGCGGUUUAGUAAGUCAGUGGUGAAAGCCCAUCGCUCAACGGUGGAACGGCCAUUGAUACUGCUGAACUUGAAUUAUUAGGAAGUAACUAGAAUAUGUAGUGUAGCGGUGAAAUGCUUAGAUAUUACAUGGAAUACCAAUUGCGAAGGCAGGUUACUACUAAUGGAUUGACGCUGAUGGACGAAAGCGUGGGUAGCGAACAGG